rnacentral:lncRNA from 1 species
CAAAUGCAGUAUUUUGAAAAAUAAAGAUAAAACAUGAUCAUUGCAUGUUUAUCAAAUAGAAUUUUAAAAUAUCUAGUAGAUGUGUGAGUGCCUUGUGUAUGUGUGUGUGUGUGCGUGUGUGUGUGUGUGUGUGUGAGAGAGAGAGAGAGAGAGAGAGAGAAGGAGGGAGAGGGAGAGGGAGAGGGAGAGGGAGAGGGAGAAGGAAAGGGAGAGAGGGAGAGAGAGGGAGAGAGGCAGGCUAGGUACUGUAAUUUUAAUUGCUUGUAAUCUAACUUGCCUUUUUGUUCCUUUUUUUCUUUCUUUCUUUCUUUUCUUUUUUUUUUUUUUUUGUAUCAGUUAAUCUGUUGGUUACAUUUUCAGCCUUCCUUUGCUUCUGGUUUCAUUUUCAGAUGAAAAAAUGCUAGGCACACAGUGCUGCUGUCUGGUUGCCAUGGCGACCACAGCCUAUUAUCCUGCCUUGUCAUUCAUCAAGAAAGAAUUGCACUUGACAGAGGGAGAGGAAAAUGCCUGCAGUCUGCAGCAUAGGAGGAAAAAAAGGUUCUCUUUUCUUCUAUUUAAGCCACCUCACCUUGAGUGUAAAUGGGCAACUCGGUUGAGGAAUAAAGAACUUCUGAAGUUCAGGUUGUAUUCUGUUGGAAGACAACUUCCCUACCAGAGGCCACGCUGCACCACCACACACCGAGAUGCUGAAAUCAUAUUUCUACACUAUCUGCAUCUGACCCUGCUAAUUCACCUCAGUCACUGUGCUCAUUCCCAAUGCCAAGGCCUGUUCCAGGGAAUGUGAGGCUCCUAUGAGGUCAAAGUAGGGAAGCAGAGUCUCCUCACCUGUUGAUUUAAUUCCCUGUGGAUCAGAGCAGACCCUGACAAAGGAUGGAAAGAAGACUAGAGGAGACUGGUUCACCUCCUGGGAAGACUCCAACAGGCAGUUGGUUUUGUAUGUCGCUGCCCUAAUUGAAUUCUCUUGUCUUUCUUCUGGGCGUUCAGAGAGUGCUGGCCUCCUGCUUCUAGGAGUAGUGGUAAGGGCUAGCAGUUGAAGCACUGGUUUAGAUAAAGUUGCAAAUUUGAGAAAGUUAGGUUUUGCUGCUCACAUCAGAUUUUCUAUCACAACUUUUCCUUGAAUACUUCUUUUUCUUAUUCUAUAUAUAUAUUUUUUCCCCUCAAAAAUAUCCUCUACCACAACCUCCAUUGUCUUCAGGCCUCGGCUCCAGAUCCUCCAGAAUCCUGCACCUCCCCAGCAUCCAACCAGCAGGCUGGCCUUUCCCAAGUAGUGUCACGUGCUCUGGGCUUUUCUCCCUACCCGCACCCCACAUAC